GUUUUCCCUGCCACAGGUAGCAGCUUCCCCUACCACUGGUUCCUUGUCGACAUCUUGCACUGGUGACCAACGACGAAGGAGUUGAUGGGUAUUUAUGCUCUCUGAUUCACAAAGUGAGUGGCCCAAUUCUCUUGAAGUUAAGGGUCGAGU